CUAUUCGGCCAUCUUGACUCCUCUCUGCCGGACUUUUCUUUAAGAAAAUCUUCUGCCACUGUUAUAAAAGACAGCAAGAUCAAUCACUCCUCUUCCACAUCCUCUUACUGUGAAGAUAAUAAGGUUGAAGACCUUGAUGAUGAUCUACUUUCACUUGAACAGCAAGUAUAUUUUCUCUUUCUUAUGAUUUUCUUAAUAACAUUUUAUUUUCUCUAGCUUACUUUAUUGUAAGAAUAUGGCAUAGAAAUAAAUGUACCAUACAAAA